CUACGUGCCAGCAGCCGCGGUAAUACGUAGGGUGCGAGCGUUAAUCGGAAUUACUGGGCGUAAAGCGAGCGCAGACGGUUUAUUAAGCAAGAUGUGAAAUCCCCGAGCUUAACUUGGGAACUGCGUUUUGAACUGGUAAGCUAGAGUAUGUCAGAGGGGGGUAGAAUUCCACGUGUAGCAGUGAAAUGCGUAGAGAUGUGGAGGUAUACCGAUGGCGAAGGCAGCCCCCUGGGAUAAUACUGACGUUCAUGCUCGAAAGCGUGGGUAGCAAACAGGAUUAGAUACCCUGGUAGUCCACGCCCUAAACGAUGUCAAUUAGCUGUUGGGGCACUUGAUGCCUUAGUAGCGAAGCUAACGCGUGAAAUUGACCGCCUGGGGAGUACGGUCGCAAGAUUAAAACUCAAAGGAAUUGACGGGGACCCGCACAAGCGGUGGAUGAUGUGGAUUAAUUCGAUGCAACGCGAAGAACCUUACCUGGUCUUGACAU
rnacentral:rRNA from 1 species